GAGUAAAUUUGGGUUUAAGUGAAGAGGAAUGAUCAUGCUAGUCAUGGUGGCAUAUGCUGGAAACCCUGCUACUGAGGAGGCUGAGACUGGUGGAUCCCUCGUGCUUGGGUGUUUUGAGCUGUGAGUGGGCAACUGAAGUCCAGAAGAAGUUAAACGACUUAAUGAAGUCAGAGAGCCAGUUUAAGGCAGACAAGGAACUACGAAGUCAGGUCAUCUGUGGGUUUUCCAUGACACGCCAUAUUGGAGAUGUGGGACCCAGAGCUUCACAGCAUUAUCUGUUGGCAGAAGGCCUCAAAUCAACAUCGCUGCCAAUUUCAGGAUAAAUCCAUUCUCCUCCCCACCCCCUUUACCAUUUAAAAACCUUCACCAACACAUUUAGAACCUGACAUGUGCCAAACUGCCCAAUUACUUCUUGCCUAUCAUUAAAACGUAAGCACUAAACACUGGGUUUGAGAAUACAUCAUACCAACUGUCUAAACACAAACUGAAGUGAAUUCAAGACUCCCAAAGAGGAUCAUAGCACAGGAUUGAAAUCAUUCAGUUUGGCCCAGAUUCAAAAUGCCAUUUAAAAUUGAGCUCAAAAAACGGCCUGUUUGUGAAAAGGACUGGAUUGACAAACCUGAAUGCUGAAGUCCUGUAUUUACCCAGAAGCCAGAAGAGCUUCUCUCUGAAGGGAGAGCAGGACAGUUUUCUUUCGAGAAGCCUUUUGGCAAGAGAAAUACUCACUACUGAGUCUAUAACUCAACCAUAUUGGCUUGGGCCCCCAGUUCUAUUUCUGAAGACUCAUUCAAGUCCAGUCCAACUUGGGAAGAAAAGGGGAGAUGGGAGGAUGGCAAUAAGUGAAUAGAAGAAAGUAAAUUAGACUUAGAUUCAGAAGAUCUGAGUUUGGCUCUUGCUCUUGCUGUGCGACAUGGGCAAGUCUCCUAAAAUCCUCAAGUCUCAUUUCUCUCAUCUAGAAAAAGGGAAUGAUAAUACUCACACUAUUUACUUCACAAGAGGAGCUGUGAGAAUCUAGUGAGAUAAUAUACCAAUAUGUAGCAGUCCACCCCUAGCUAUGGGCAAGGGAAACAGUUAGUAUGUACAGAGUGGCUUAGAAGAGAACAUGCUCAGUCUUGAGCAUGGCUGGGAAAGCCUCUGACCCUUCACCCCAGCUUCCCCCAGAUUAGGUGGAAAAACAGGUUUCUUUGUGUCCACCUGGCUAAGAGAAACCACACCUAUACCUUGUCGUUAACCAAUGAUAAUCAUCCCUAUGUAUUGUGUAUAUUUGCAUAUCAAAGAGAUUAAAUACCGGGCCACAGCAAGCUCCACCUUCUCUUCCUCUCU
rnacentral:lncRNA from 1 species